GCUUGCUGCUUUGCUGACGAGUGGCGGACGGGUGAGUAAUGUCUGGGAAACUGCCUGAUGGAGGGGGAUAACUACUGGAAACGGUAGCUAAUACCGCAUAACGUCGCAAGACCAAAGAGGGGGACCUUCGGGCCUCUUGCCAUCGGAUGUGCCCAGAUGGGAUUAGCUAGUAGGUGGGGUAACGGCUCACCUAGGCGACGAUCCCUAGCUGGUCUGAGAGGAUGACCAGCCACACUGGAACUGAGACACGGUCCAGACUCCUACGGGAGGCAGCAGUGGGGAAUAUUGCACAAUGGGCGCAAGCCUGAUGCAGCCAUGCCGCGUGUAUGAAGAAGGCCUUCGGGUUGUAAAGUACUUUCAGCGGGGAGGAAGGGAGUAAAGUUAAUACCUUUGCUCAUUGACGUUACCCGCAGAAGAAGCACCGGCUAACUCCGUGCCAGCAGCCGCGGUAAUACGGAGGGUGCAAGCGUUAAUCGGAAUUACUGGGCGUAAAGCGCACGCAGGCGGUUUGUUAAGUCAGAUGUGAAAUCCCCGGGCUCAACCUGGGAACUGCAUCUGAUACUGGCAAGCUUGAGUCUCGUAGAGGGGGGUAGAAUUCCAGGUGUAGCGGUGAAAUGCGUAGAGAUCUGGAGGAAUACCGGUGGCGAAGGCGGCCCCCUGGACGAAGACUGACGCUCAGGUGCGAAAGCGUGGGGGAGCAACAGGAUU
rnacentral:rRNA from 1 species